rnacentral:lncRNA from 1 species
AAAGGGUCAAUUUACAAAUAAAGUAAUCACAAAAAUAAGAUUAAUGUGUAAUGCGCGCGAACAUAUAGGGACUAGAAUUGAGAAUAGUCCAGGCCCCAAAACGUAGUGUUGUAACGCAGGCCCAAUUGCAAAAACGAGCAAGUUUUAGGAGAAAUUUAAAAAAACACGUGAGACUCAAGUAGGGACUAAUUGGAACACGGAACAAAACGGGAAGGACCUUCUGCAUAAAUAACCCAUUUUACACGCAAAAGCGCAGAUCCGGGUCUUUGAUCGGGUUGACGCGCGGGUUAUCCCCCUUGAAACGGCGCCGUUUCGUUGUAUGCCCAAAUUUAAAGGAAAAUUGAAUGGCAAUUAGCCAUCUCUUCAAACCGCAAGUCAAAUACCUAAUUGUUUAGGGUUUCAACUCAGCAGCCUUCAAUUUCUAAGGCCAUUCCGUCACCAGUUCACCAUUAAAAUUGGUGAGAGGUAUAGAAGCAGCCUUUAUUUCCAUCAGAAUCAACACUCAAAGACCAUUCUAUCUUGUGUAUCUGCAUUUCUAACCCCGAUUUCGACGAAAAAGAUAAGGGAUCUCACCGAUGCAUUCAUCAAGGUAACUUUUUCGUUUAUCUUUUUUUAAAAAUAAAAAAUAAAAAACAAGAUGUAUGCAAAAGAAGGAAAAAAAUAUCGAAGACAGAAUAUAAAAAAAAUUUUAAAUCACCUUCUGAUUCUUUGAUUCUUGGUAUUAGAUUUGCAUAGAGUGCGUAAAAAUACAUGGAAUACAAGUGAGGCUUUUUGAAUUUUCAGAGAAAUAGCGAAAAAAUAAAAAUAUUCUCCUACUGUCAUUUGCAUAUUCUGUUAUUUCUUCUCGUGUAUUCUUUUUCAGGAAUGGCCGUACGGAGGAGAUGACCCUGGUGACGUGGAGGCCGAGCGUGGGGAGCUCUCGUGAGAGGCUGACCUUCUGAUGCCCUUCUGGCUUACUCCAGAAGCUUCUGGCAUUCUCAGACUGCUGAGAUUCUUUUCAGGUGUAUUGGGCCUCGGGUUUUAGGGCUUAUUCAAUUGGGUCAUGGGUUAUUUUAGUUUAAUGGACUUUUUUUUGUAUUUUUUAUUUUUCCUUUUAGUUUUGGGUUUUGUAAAUGGACUUUGGCCCUAUAAACAAUUUGGUCUUAUUAUUUAUUUGGUUUUAUAAAUAUAUUUUAUUUUUGGUUUUUGUUUUUUUUUGGGCCCGGGCAAAAUGGGCCUAUUACAGCUACUCCUCUUUGUUCAUUGUCAUGUAACGAGAAUAGAGCAAAGACUUUAAGAGGACCACUUUUGCUCGAUUUUGAAUUCUUUGGGGAAAUAAGGCUGGCCUAAAUUUGUUCCAUUGCCUAUACAUGGAGAUAAGAUUUGCUCUCGAUCUGCUGCAACUUCAGGGAAAUAAAAUCUUCAAUCUUCAGUCUGCUCCCUUAUUAUCCCAAGAAAAUAAGACUCACUCUUCAAUCUAUUCUCUUGCCACCUCAGAGAGAUAAGGUUGGUGGUAAAAUAUGUUUCAUUGCCAAUACAUAGAAAUAAGAUUCACUAUUUUCGAUCUGAUCCACUCAGAGAGAUAAGGUUAGUGGCUAAAAUCUGCUCCAUUGCCAAUACGUGGAGACAAGAUUCACCAUCUUCGAUCUGUUCCGCUACUGCUUAGGGAAAUAAGAUCUUCAAUCUUUAGUGUGCUUUCUCACUACCUCAGAAAGAUAAGACUCAAUCUUCAACCUGCUCUCUUGCUACCUUAGAGAGAUAAGGCUUGGGGCUUAAAUCUGCUCCAUUACCGAUACAUGGAGAUAAGAUUCGCCUCUUUCAAUCUGCUCUACUACUGUUUAGGGAGAUAAGAUCUUCAAUCUUCAGUCUGCUUCCUUGCUACCUCAGGAAGAUAAGACUCAUUCUUCAACCUGCUCUCUUGCUACCUCAGAGAGAUGAGGCUGGUGGUAAAACCUGCUCCUUUGUCGAUGCAUAGAGAUAAGAUUCAUCAUCUGCGAAGCUUUAC